CCGACGUAUUCGGGCGUACGUGUCCGUCUCUCGCGUUCUGUCAGCAGGCGGGACGGAGGCGCCGUGUCUUUCGCCGCUUCUACUACGUGUGCAAUGGGCUUUGGCGAAUGGAACGCCGCGACUUGUGCUCGCCGCCCUCCGCCCAGCCUGGUUGUCACCUCAGGCAAGGGGAAGCCGGAUGCCGGAACCCAUGCGCAUGCUGGCUUGUUGACUUGCUGCUGCGUGCCAAUAAUCCCACCAUGGAGUCCGGUUGGAUGGAAGCCCUGAACGGCGGCCGUUCUCUUGGAAUGGCGUCUCCCCCACCCUUCGACAGAAAGCGGCCGAGGGGUUCCCGAAGGCUGCUGCGUGCCCGAGACCAGGAAACGCCCUUUUGAACGACCGACUCGCCCCCUCCUUUUUCCUGACAGCCCUCCGUCCGCACCACAGGUGGACUGAGUAGCAACGCGAAGAUGGGGGAGGCGAAAGAGCAGCAUUAUUAUGUGACGCAUGUGCUACUACUUGCCUCCUCCACUUUAAUGCCACGCUGCGCGAGGCCGGGGUGGGGGGGCGGCCGUCUCUCCCUUAAUCAAUGAAUGGAAACAGAACACUUCCUUCUACCUCUUGAGUGGCCGCUUCAGGCGGGUCACGUGGGAGGACCGUGGGGAAGGGGAGAUGAAGAGGAAAUCUCCCCGCGCUCUUCUUCUGCCCCCCAGACGCAACCCUGACGUUCGUUUCGAACGUAUAAUUGUGAACGUAUCAAAGCCGGACAAUACAAAGCAGACUCUAUGCGAUGUUGUCUCUUUGGGGAGGCGAGGAAGAGACUGGCCGAGAAAAAGAGGGUGGCACGUGGUCGGUGUGCUUGCGGAGACGAAAAGCAAACGUCAGUGGAGGGAUGUAAAUGUAAACCUUCUAGGAGGGAGUAAACACUGAGGAGUGUGUGAAUCGGUGAA